GUGCUCACUUUUGCGGCACGUGUGCUAAAGUUGGAAUGAUACAGAGAAAAUUAGCAUGGCCCCUGUGUAAGGAUGACAUGUAAAUUCGUAGGCUGCUUUCCUAUGUU
ensembl:snRNA U6 U6 spliceosomal RNA